GAAAACAUUCGCAUGGAAAUCAGAGGGAAGAAUAAGGCGUCCCAGGUGGAGGAGGGAGGACCAGCGGGUUCCUGGCAGAGAGAAGAGUGUCUGCAAACCCCUGAGGCAAGAGGAGCCUGUGUCUUUGAAGGUCUGAACAAAGGCUCAUUCCACAGAGUCAGGAAAGCAAAGGGGGCAGUAUUUGGGGAAGACGCCCAGGAGGAAGCCGGGGGUGGGGAGGGGUUGGGGGGCCCAAUUGGCCAGGCCCUUCUUGAUGCUGAAUGGCAGGAGGACCUUGAAGAAGUGACAGGGUCAGAGGUACCAUCCAGAAAGAUCACCCUGAUCAGAGCUGGGAGAAUGGAGGUGCCGGGCAGGAGCAGAUGCCAGGGCCUGCUUGGAGGCAACUGGAAUACUCCAGGCAAGAGGAUGGAGUCUAAGGCCAGGAACUCAGUUCCUGAGGCAGAUGGGAGCACUUUUUAAGAAGAUGGAAUUUUCUAACAACCAGAGCUAUCUCAAAAGUCAUAAGCUUCCUGCCCCUGGAAAUGUGCAAGCCGUGUCUGUCUGCAGAGCUGAAAUUCCUGCGUUCUCAGGAGGCUGGGCAAAUGCUAAGAUGGAGGUUCUGAAAUCUGAUUACUGCACCAAUCACUGUGGGAGAGAGUUAGUGAUAUAUCUACUCCCAGACCCGGAACUACACAGAAUCAAGAUCUAUUAAGGUGGGGCCCCAGAAUUUACAUUGUUUAACCCUCUCCAGGUGAAUCUCCUGAACAUAUUGCUCUACAUUCCCUUUUAAUCUGAGAUCCUAAUAAUACCAAAUUUGUACUGAAACUAAAGCUUGGGCUAAAGCUUUCUAGGAAUGCUCAUCACCUGCGAUGCUGGAACUGCUCUCUAGGUGAUCCCUGGGGUUUCCCUUGAGUGUGCAAGGCCUUUCUCCUUGCUCCCAGCCUUCUCCCCUUUUCUUUGUCUCCUCUUCCCUUUCUGUACUUCCUUUUCCCUGUCUCUCCUCCCUUUUGUCUCUCUAGGCUCAGUUUUUCUGUGUGUUUUCCUGACUAGGUUCCCACGGCAUUAGUGACAUCAACCACUCCUGACCCUACACAUCUGUAGGUGUGAAACGCUGUGUGCAGAAUUUCCACGCAGCUCUCAUUGGCCUGACCCCACAAAAGAUAGCUGGGUAGGCCCUUGGGUGAAGACAAAAACCAGCCCAGUGGGAAAGGCUGCUGGGGUGGGCUGGCAUGCACCUGAGGUUUCCUUGAAAGCUAGAGAGAAAAGGGUUAGCUUCUUAUUUUUAGAAGUUCUCCUGAGCUCUAGUUCCUAUGUAAAUCAGUGUAAAACACUCUAGAAUCAGAAAGGCCCUGUGUGUUAUUU
rnacentral:lncRNA from 10 species